UACAGAGGUCUCAAGCGUUGUUCGGAUUCAUUGGGCGUAAAGGGUGCGUAGGCGGCGCGGUAAGUCGGGUGUGAAAUCUCGGGGCUUAACUCCGAAACUGCAUUCGAUACUGCCGUGCUUGAGGACUGGAGAGGAGACUGGAAUUUACGGUGUAGCGGUGAAAUGCGUAGAUAUCAGUCGGAACACCGGUGGCGAAGGCGGCUUCUUGGGCCGUUCCUGACGCUGAGGCGCGAAAGCUGGGGGAGCGAACGGG
rnacentral:rRNA from 1 species